rnacentral:lncRNA from 1 species
UUUUCACCUGCAUCUGCCCUUGAAUUCCCCCUUCCCAAUUCUCUCUCAAGCUCCUCUCAAACCCUAGCCGCCUCCCUCCGCUUCCACCCUAAAGUCGCCUGUAUCCAUGGCUUCCAAAGCCAUUAAAGGCUUGUACCUGCCUCCUACGACUCCUACAUGCUUGAUUAUUAUGGUUUGAAAACCAGACCUUGAAGAAGUUUGGUCUAGACCUUGGUUUAUUUUAUUGUUAUGCUGUCUCCGGUCAUCUUUGACCUUGCUCUAGCCAACCAUGGCUAUUGAAGCCUGAUCCUGACUCCUCAUGUCUAGAUCAAUAACAUUCCAAAACUUUCUCGCCAUCUGGUUUCUUUUGAAAUCCUAACCUUUGAGGUUCUUCUGAUUCUUUUAGAUCCAUUGUAGAUCUGUGUUUUGCUUGAGCUUUUAAACGUUUUCUCAAAGUUUCUUUCAAAAUUUAACCUUCGGAACCUUUAUGUUUUCCGAUCUAGGGUUUUGUUAAGUUAUUUAGAAGUUUUCUCUGAUCUUUAGCAUGUUCUACUAUGUUUCUUUAUGUUCUUCUUCUACUGGAGUGUGCAUGUUAAAAGUCUUAGUUCCUUCUUGAGGUUUCUGAUUUUAUUUUGUUGAUAUUUUCUGCCUGAUUCCCCUAUCUUUUAUCUUUAUACUCGAUUGAUGGUGAAAAUCCUAAAAUUUUGGGUUCAUUCGAUUCUAAAAACUAUUUGCUGUGUGAUCUAUUUGUUCCUCAUCUCUGAGCUUGUUUGGUUUCAAAACCCUAUUUUCUUUAGACCUACUCGAGUUUCUAAAGUUGUUUCAUCUAUUGCUCGACUGAGUUUCGAAAUCUUUGUUUCAACUUCUGUUUCUUUAUGUGAUUUUGAUUUCUUGCUAUUAUUGGAACUCGACUAUAUUUUCAAAAAUGGUUUUUCUUCGAGACCCUUUUGCAUGCUUCUGAUACCCUCUUCUCCCUAUUACUAAGUUGACCUAUGUGACUAUCAUGUUUCACUAUCUCUUUGCCUUAGUUUAGCCUUACAUGCCUAAUACCUAUGUACUCUUUUAUAUGCUGAAUUUCCUUUUGAAGAGACCUUCAAUUUUGGGACUAAUUUCAAAACCCCCAUGUGUAAGUUUGAUUGCAUUCAUGUGUUAAGUGAUUGACUCUUUCCUUGUUUCGCCUUACUGAUUUCCAUGUUUCUUGGUUGAUUUAGAAACAUCCCUCAGACUUUUGAUUAUCCUAUUUCUGAAUUGGUUUAUUUGUUUUUUCAUGAAUUAGUAAUUUCGAAUCCCAGAAUCCUUGAUUUACUAUGUACUGAUUACCGCUAUAUUCUGCAACUGGACUUUGUUUUCUUAACUUAUUUGGUUAACCUAGUAUUUCAAAGAUUCUUCCGUUAAUUAAACCCUUAUGUAUUUACCCUAAUUGUCUACUCUGCGCAAUGUGCUUACUUGAUUUCUUUCCUUAAAAGUUUUCUGUUUACUGCCGUUUGGUUUUAACUUCUUAAUUAAAAUAAGUCUUGAUAGUGAUUGAUUUUAAUUGAUACAUAGUUCCAUAAUCAUUUCCUUGCCUUAUUUUCUGUCUGUUUUCAACUAUAAAUAUCCCGGCCCUGUCAUCACCACAAUACAAAAACAUUCUAAGUUCUUCUGAACUCACACUCAAAAGCAUUCUCUCUUGCUACUUGUACGGUUGCAUGUUUCCAAAUUCUGCUACCUACUUUUACUGUAUUUUGCUUCUUUAAACUGGUAUGUUCUGAUUAAGUUUUCAGCCUCACCACAAUGUGUUUACUUAAUACUUUUACCCUCUUGUCUAUUGUUGGUGUUCAAUUCAGUACUUAUUUUAGCUUGCUAUAAUUUCCUUUCUGCAUGUUCUGAAUUUACUAUGAAUCCUAAACCCCUAGCCCAAUGUGUUUGAUGUUGUGGUUUGCUUGAGGCAUGAUAGUACUGAAUAUUACAGUCCAUGACUCAAGCUUGAUUCUUGGGAUCCUAACCUCUAUGAUUCUUUGUUGUUGCAUGUUCUGGUAGUCUCAUAGGCAUGCCAACAUCUCCAUUGUUAUGCAUACCCAAAGAUUACCCUUUGCUUAAGGAUAGACUCUUUGCAAUCCCCAAUCCCUAAACCCCUUUUGUAUGAAAAUAUCAUGUUGUUUUUGGAUUUUUCCCCUUUCCUUUAUCCCCUCAAAACUCUGUUUCUUCACUUGCACUCUCUCUUAGAAUUAAGUUCUGCCCCCUUCUUGUGAGCCUUGCCCUGGGAUCCAUUGAGCUCCCUCUGAACUUGGGACGUUUGAGGGCUGGCCCUUCCAUACUGCACUUGUCCCUAUUAUGAUGAUAAAUUUGGGUGUGAGCACUGUCCGAAGUCCUAUUGAGGCUCUUAGGGAACUCUGACACACUCAAAUUGAGAAAGGCUUUGGAUCAAUGGUCUUUGGAUUGGUUUAUCUCAUAACUUAGUGAGGAAGUCAGAAUCAGGCCUCCUCUAGUUGUACUUUAUUUGUAUGUUUUCAAUGUAAUUUACUAUUCUGGUUUGUAAAUAUGUUGUAAUAAAAUUC